UGGAAAGCCAUUGCGUCUGAACUAGUUCAGGCACCACAUCCUCCUCAAUCAAUGUCGGCGAUCUCCAAUGACCAAUUUAACAGCCUCAUCCAGCAUGUGUAGUCCUUGAUUGUUAUGGUACAAGGAAUGUAACAGAUUGCUAUAGCCUAGCUUGCAUUAGAUGCUUCGCAUUGAGAUCAAGCUAGAUUGGCAAUCCAACACUCACCUCUUCGUAGUCUAACGUGGGAGAUAGUCGACACAACCAAUCUGCGAGCUCUAAUCGAGGACAAC
rnacentral:lncRNA from 1 species